AAAAUUAGCUUGAAAUUGAUGCGGAAGGUAGAUGAAAUCACCAACAACGAUUGAAUCUCAAGAUUCAUCAACAAAAAUGUUCAGGAACAACAAUUACUUACCGAAUUCCAAUUUGUUCUUCGUUUUCAUUAUCGAUUAGGUUUUCCUGCUUCUACAUUUUCGAGUCCUCAUUUAAUUGUAGACAAAUUUGUCACAUGAUGUUUAAAGGUUAGGAAAUUAGAGAAAUAAGGUUUUGAAUCCUUCGAGCACUGGUCAGAUUGAAGAUGUUCAGACAUCAAUUGAGAGGUUGAAUUUUUUUAGUUCUUCUUGAUUUUGCUUAGCUGAUGGAGUGGUGGUAUUGAAGAAGAACUCAGAUAGAUCAGUCCAUGUUCACUACCGAGAAUUAUGACAUGAAGCUACUAGCAGUUGACGUUCCCAUGAGCACGGGGCCUGAUCAGCGUUUUUUUCCUAAUUAGGGAUGAAGAGUACAAGGUAGGGGUGGUUUAAUAUCUGAACUUAGAGAUGCGAUAGUGAAAGCUAUGGCGGCUACCAAAGAGUUCUAGGAACUCGACAAAAAGGAAGAGGAAGAGGAUAAAGAGCGAGAACUGGAGGAAGCAGAAAGGAAACUGGAGGAGGCAGAAAGGAAAAAACCGUGAGGAUAUUGAGCAAUAAUUGGAGAAAAGUGGCAGUGACGGAAGAUACCGAGCAACACACGUCGCUUCUGCUUCUUGGGGAGGUAUUAAACAGGUUUUACCGUUUUAGCAGCUUCUUUGGUUCCAAUUGAAUAAAACAGGAUACAUGUUCCUAGAAAAUCUUUUUAGAAUAGCUUAUUUGAAAGCAAAGCAUCCAUAGUUAGUUUGUUAAGUAGGGAGGGUCUAAGUCUAAGGAGUAGUAAUUGUGAAUCCGUGAUGGAUCAUUGUGCUCUGAAAAUCUUUGUACUAGUAUAAUACACACACAAGUGGAGGACCAGAUCCUCGAAAUGUGACAGUACCCACGCAUAGUUACUUUAGCUUUUGGUAUGCGUUACGGAGGUAAAAGAAAGAAUAGAAUAAUUAGGAAUCUGUGUUACAAUGUGUAAAUGUCUGUUUAGUAUUAAUUAAAAGUGUAAUUAAGAAGGUACGCGUUAUGGAGGUAAAAGAAAGAAUAAAAUAAUUAAGAAUCUGUGUUAGAAUGUGUAAAUGUCUGUUUAAUAUUAAUUAAAAGUGUAAAGUUAGUUAAUAAUGGUAGUCACAAAUUGGGGGAGUGGUGGGUGAAAUGAAUGUUCCACAACAAUUCCUAGAUAUUCCCAGUUCUAACUAGAGGGAGAUGGAUGGAUGGUUGGACAUGCUUAUUACUAAAUUGUACACCAGCAAGCCAAGCAAGAGAUUCAAAUUUUGGACUGGAUCAGCAAUCAAAGAGGAGUAGUAGUUAAUGAAGGGAAGUUAUCUCUUCUUCUUUCAAUCCUUCAUUCCUUAUAGUUUUAGGGCUGUGUUGACUAUGUCAUUCUGGUGGUUAAUACAAUCCCUAUGAAGUGUAAAUGUUGAUGGCGAUGAAAAAUGGUCCAUGUUGUCCUAUGAGUCCUACACACGUCAUGGCCCCCAUCAAUCCAUAUGAAGUAUAUAUGUUCACAUAUUCAUCCCUCAUUUGGGUAUGUAUGUUUUGGAUACACGUGCGGACAACAUGUGUACAACUAUAUGCACAUGUUGAUUGUUAAUGUGUACAUGGUUGUACACCUGUGAUUCCUAAUGUAUACAUAGUUGUACACCUGUUGAUUGUAAUGUUUACAUAGUUUUACACAUGUUGGUUGUUAAUGGUACAGAACUAGUGAAGAAUUUCAUUUUAUAUUAGCUGCUUUAACCUAAUAUUAUCAAUUUGGUUUAAUUAUAUUAGCAGAGAUUAUAUGGUGUAUUGAUAAACUUUGUGGAGUCAUGGGUCAUUGGACGAAUUAGUUAGUAAUGGCUUUAUUAUAUAUUAAAUUGCAUUGUAGUGAAUUGGUUGGAUAAUGUAUUCAUUUUGUUCGAAAACGCAGGUCACGUAUAUUGAAAUACAAUUAUCCUGCAGCUGAAAAGAAACAAGUUCGAUACUGUGAGGGGCAGAAUACAUUAUCCCCAGUAUUUGUUAUCUUCCAGAUCAGUUUAUGGAAGAUAUUUCAUUACAAGGAGAAGAAGAAGAAGAAGAAAAGCUUGUGGGCGCACGCGCAGUGUGUUUACAAAACACCCCAGUAUCUAUUAGUUAACUUUACAGGGUUCUGCGUCUCAAUCACCAAGUUUUAUUGGCUGAUUUUUAAUUAACUGAAGAAGCAAGUGAUCAAGUGAGUGCAGGUGGGAAGACUGUUCUUACCUGGACCACUGCUAAACAAGAUUUAAAGUUUGUUCCUAGAUAUUCUAAGAUGCCGAGGAAAGAAAGAGAGUCUUUGUGGCGCCUAGAGGAGACGUUGUUAAAGCAAAAUAUUAAAUCUGACUUUAGGGAAGACAAGCCACAGGUACAAAAAGUAGAAGCUAUCUUGAUUCAUGGAGGAUCAAUGAGACUUCAUGGACGGAGUUAGCUACAAGUUUAAUUGGGCGAUGAAGACUUGCUUAGAAAUGUGUAGUAGCUGGUAUUCUUUGAAUAUCAGUCUUCAUUGUUGUACCUAUACAGAGUCAAAAAAACAUGGGUGAAAAGGGAAAUAGCGGACGCAGUCUUGUGAACUAUCAAAAUCAUUGAUUCUCAGUAUGCAAGUGGAUAUGCCGGAUGUGCAGGGUGAAUUCUCGACAGUAGUAACAGGAGCGUUGCUGACGUUAGUGCAAGGUUCAGAAACCAAACUGAUGUCACGACACGUGUUCCAUGGGGUACACUUGAAAGUGUUGGCGACGACCAGUCAGAGUAAGUUCCAGAGCCUUUUACAUGUUCAUGCCUGUCACUAUACUACCGCCAUCGGCUACUGUCACUUAGAUGGACGAUUAAAGUGCACCUCAGUCUUGUAUUUGGAUUUUCUGGAUUUUUGUAAAUGUGUACAUGUUUGUACACCAGUAUAAAUUAAGAUUUUAAUAAAAUGAGAGUUAUAUAGUCAUACAGGUACUCUUUUUGUAGCUCUCGGAAAGAGCUUUCCGAAUAUAUAGAGAUUGUGAAUUUUGGACGAAUGAUUUAAAAAAUAAAUUGUUUUUAAUUA